AACGAACGCUGGCGGCAGGCCUAACACAUGCAAGUCGAACGAGAAGCCACCUUCGGGUGGUGGAAAGUGGCAGACGGGUGAGUAACGCGUGGGAACGUGCCUUUCGGUUCGGGAUAACCCAGGGAAACUUGGGCUAAUACCGGAUACGCCCUCCGGGGGAAAGAUUCAUUGCCGAAAGAUCGGCCCGCGUCGGAUUAGCUAGUUGGUGGGGUAAUAGCCUACCAAGGCGACGAUCCGUAGCUGGUCUGAGAGGAUGACCAGCCACACUGGGACUGAGACACGGCCCAGACUCCUACGGGAGGCAGCAGUGGGGAAUAUUGGACAAUGGGCGAAAGCCUGAUCCAGCAAUGCCGCGUGAGUGAUGAAGGCCUUAGGGUUGUAAAGCUCUUUUACCCGGGAUGAUAAUGACAGUACCGGGAGAAUAAGCUCCGGCUAACUCCGUGCCAGCCGCCGCAGUAA
rnacentral:rRNA from 1 species